rnacentral:lncRNA from 1 species
UCUGGGUUAUCUCAAGACUUGGAGAUGUCUGGCCUAUGUCAAGAGACAGAUGACGGAUAAGUUGGAGGAUAAGUCUAUUAUAGCUCACUUUAUAGGGUAUCCAAAAGAAUCCAUAGGAUACUACUACUUUCCAUAAGAUUACAAUGUGUUUGUGAGUCGAAAUGCCGUAUUUCUAGAAAAAUAAUUUAUCCAGGAUGAUGGC